rnacentral:lncRNA from 1 species
UGUGUGAAAGCUCGCAGGGAAGAAGAGAUUCCUCCAGGGCCUUACUGUGUAAGCUAUCGUCAACCAGGCAGGAGUAGGCAGGUGAGCUCCAUAAAGGUAGGAAGCAUCAUCUCAGGUGUUCCGGAGACACCAAGCGUGUGCACUACUCGGAGGUCUGGUCUAGUGUUAAGUACACUACAAAAAUGGCUGAAGAGACCUAGUGUGAAGACCCAGACCUGGUGUGUUCUCCUCUCUGACCUUCUUACCCCAUGCCCAGUCUAUUCUGAGCACUUCCAGUUUGCUAUCAGUGAUCUGUACCACCGCCUGUCCUCAAAGGGCAGUGGCUUAAUCUUUUAGAUGCACUUAAUAGGAAAAUAUUUGCCACUGAGCACAAAUCAAUCUCUCCAGCUUGAAUUUGGACUUAUAGUUAAAACAAUAGUUUAAGGCUCUCAAAUAGAAACAAAACAAAACAACAAACAAACAAACAAAACCAGUGGUCUCCAGAGCAGAAAUUAGAAAAAAAUAUUAAGCC